UGGGGAAUUUUUCGCAAUGGGCGCAAGCCUGACGAAGCAACGCCGCGUGGAGGAUGAAGGCCUUCGGGUCGUAAACUCCUGUCGACUGGGACGAAAGCAGUCUGGGCUAAUAUCCCGGGCUGUUGACUGUACCGGUGGAGGAAGCCACGGCUAACUCUGUGCCAGCAGCCGCGGUAAUACAGAGGUGGCAAGCGUUGUUCGGAAUUACUGGGCGUAAAGGGCGCGUAGGCGGCUCGACAAGUCCCGCGUGAAAGCCCCCGGCUCAACUGGGGAACUGCGCGGGAAACUGUCGGACUUGAGUUCGGGAGAGGGAAGCGGAAUUCCGGGUGUAGCGGUGAAAUGCGUAGAUAUCCGGAGGAACACCGGUGGCGAAGGCGGCUUCCUGGACCGACACUGACGCUGAGGCGCGAAAGCUAGGGGAGCAAACGG
rnacentral:rRNA from 1 species